GGCGGUCCCUGAAAUAGAGACGGUCUUUCAGCGACCGAUUUACGGACCACCACACCUCGCCUCACCCGCCUCCCUCCACACCUGCUUGCGUGCCCACCUCCUCAUAGUCGUUCUCAGGGGUCAGGAAAUCAUCCACGAUGGUGACCCGGGGGCCCAGCUGCUCGCUCAGCACGUCCAGGAAGCGAGAUGGGGUCUCACUAUGUUGCCAGGCCGAUCUCAAACUCCUGGGCUCAGUCGAUCCUCCUGCCUCGGCCUCCCAAAGUGCUGGGAUUACAGGCACGACCCACGGCACCCAGGCUACUUUCUUGAUCCACAGCUGAGGUGGAAAAACUGAGCUCCAUUCAUACCCUCCC